UUGGGAUAUGGUGACAUGGUACCGGCAACUGUAAUGGGAAAAAUUGUUGGUGGCGUUUGCUCGUUGAGUGGUGUCCUCGUCAUCGCUCUUCCUGUUCCUGUAAGCUUCAAAA
rfam:Enterobius vermicularis genome assembly, scaffold: EVEC_scaffold0001229